UACUGUGAGGUAUGCUGGAGGUAUCAGAAGUGCGAAUGCUGACAUAAGUAACGAUAAAGCGGGUGAAAAGCCCGCUCGCCGGAAGACCAAGGGUUCCUGUCCAACGUUAAUCGGGGCAGGGUGAGUCGACCCCUAAGGCGAGGCCGAAAGGCGUAGUCGAUGGGAAACAGGUUAAUAUUCCUGUACUUGGUGUUACUGCGAAGGGGGGACGGAGAAGGCUAUGUUGGCCGGGCGACGGUUGUCCCGGUUUAAGCGUGUAGGCUGGUUUUCCAGGCAAAUCCGGAAAAUCAAGGCUGAGGCGUGAUGACGAGGCACUACGGUGCUGAAGCAACAAAUGCCCUGCUUCCAGGAAAAGCCUCUAAGCAUCAGGUAACAUCAAAUCGUACCCCAAACCGACACAGGUGGUCAGGUAGAGAAUACCAAGGCGCUUGAGAGAACUCGGGUGAAGGAACUAGGCAAAAUGGUGCCGUAACUUCGGGAGAAGGCACGCUGAUAUGUAGGUGAAGUCCCUCGCGGAUGGAGCUGAAAUCAGUCGAAGAUACCAGCUGGCUGCAACUGUUUAUUAAAAACACAGCACUGUGCAAACACGAAAGUGGACGUAUACGGUGUGACGCCUGCCCGGUGCCGGAAGGUUAAUUGAUGGGGUCAGCGCAAGCGAAGCUCUUGAUCGAAGCCCCGGUAAACGGCGGCCGUAACUAUAACGGUCCUAAGGUAGCGAAAUUCCUUGUCGGGUAAGUUCCGACCUGCACGAAUGGCGUAAUGAUGGCCAGGCUGUCUCCACCCGAGACUCAGUGAAAUUGAACUCGCUGUGAAGAUGCAGUGUACCCGCGGCAAGACGGAAAGACCCCGUGAACCUUUACUAUAGCUUGACACUGAACAUUGAGCCUUGAUGUGUAGGAUAGGUGGGAGGCUUAGAAGUGUGGACGCCAGUCUGCAUGGAGCCGACCUUGAAAUACCACCCUUUAAUGUUUGAUGUUCUAACGUGGACCCGUGAUCCGGGUUGCGGACAGUGUCUGGUGGGUAGUUUGACUGGGGCGGUCUCCUCCUAAAGAGUAACGGAGGAGCACGAAGGUUGGCUAAUCCUGGUCGGACAUCAGGAGGUUAGUGCAAUGGCAUAAGCCAGCUUGACUGCGAGCGUGACGGCGCGAGCAGGUGCGAAAGCAGGUCAUAGUGAUCCGGUGGUUCUGAAUGGAAGGGCCAUCGCUCAACGGAUAAAAGGUACUCCGGGGAUAACAGGCUGAUACCGCCCAAGAGUUCAUAUCGACGGCGGUGUUUGGCACCUCGAUGUCGGCUCAUCACAUCCUGGGGCUGAAGUAGGUCCCAAGGGUAUGGCUGUUCGCCAUUUAAAGUGGUACGCGAGCUGGGUUUAGAACGUCGUGAGACAGUUCGGUCCCUAUCUGCCGUGGGCGCUGGAGAACUGAGGGGGGCUGCUCCUAGUACGAGAGGACCGGAGUGGACGCAUCACUGGUGUUCGGGUUGUCAUGCCAAUGGCACUGCCCGGUAGCUAAAUGCGGAAGAGAUAAGUGCUGAAAGCAUCUAAGCACGAAACUUGCCCCGAGAUGAGUUCUCCCUGACUCCUUGAGAGUCCUGAAGGAACGUUGAAGACGACGACGUUGAUAGGCCGGGUGUGUAAGCGCAGCGAUGCGUUGAGCUAACCGGUACUAAUGAACCGUGAGGCUUAACCUU
rnacentral:rRNA from 1 species